rnacentral:rRNA from 1 species
UACGUAGGGUGCGAGCGUUAAUCGGAAUUACUGGGCGUAAAGCGUGCGCAGGCGGUUUUGUAAGACAGAUGUGAAAUCCCCGGGCUUAACCUGGGAACUGCAUUUGUGACUGCAAGGCUAGAGUACGGCAGAGGGGGGUAGAAUUCCACGUGUAGCAGUGAAAUGCGUAGAUAUGUGGAGGAAUACCGAUGGCGAAGGCAGCCCCCUGGGUCGAUACUGACGCUCAUGCACGAAAGCGUGGGGAGCAAACAGGAUUAGAAACCCCCGGUAGUCC